rnacentral:rRNA from 1 species
UACGAAGGGUGCAAACGUUGCUCGGAAUCAUUGGGCGUAAAGCGCACGUAGGCGGCCUCAUAAGUCGGAUGUGAAAUCCCUCGGCUCAACCGAGGACGUGCAUUCGAAACUGCGAGGCUCGAGUAUGGAAGAGGGUCGCGGAAUUCCCGGUGUAGCGGUGAAAUGCGUAGAUAUCGAGAGGAACACCUGCGGCGAAGGCGGGUUGCUGGGCUGACACUGACGCUGAUGCGCGAAAGCCAGGGGAGCGAACGGG